rnacentral:rRNA from 1 species
GGUCCAGACUCCUACGGGAGGCAGCAGUGAGGAAUAUUGGUCAAUGGCCGGAAGGCUGAACCAGCCAUGCCGCGUGAAGGUCAGUGCCCUAUGGGCGUUAAACCUCUUUUGUCAGGGAGCAACGCCGGCUACGUGUAGCCGGACUGAGAGUACCUGAAGAAAAAGCAUCGGCUAACUCCGUGCCAGCAGCCGCGGUAAUACGGAGGAUGCGAGCGUUAUCCGGAUUUAUUGGGUUUAAAGGGUGCGCAGGCGGAGGUGCAAGUCAGCGGUCAAAUUGCGGGGCUCAACCCCGUACUGCCGUUGAAACUGCAUCCCUUGAGUGCGCGAGAAGUAUGCGGAAUGCGUGGUGUAGCGGUGAAAUGCAUAGAUAUCACGCAGAACUCCGAUUGCGAAGGCAGCAUACCGGCGCGCAACUGACGCUCAUGCACGAAAGCGUGGGUAUCGAACAGGAUUAGAUACCCUAGUAGA